GCCAGUGUAGUGUAGUGGUUUGAGCAUUAGACUACAGUUCUGGAGAUCAGAGUUCAAUUCCCCAUUUGAG